ACGGGGUGCAGCAGGCGCGAAACCUUCGCAAAAUGUGUUAGCGCACGACGAGGGGAUCCGAAGUGUUACAGUUUUACUGUAACUUUUGCCGAGUUCAAACAGCUCGACGAAUAAGGGGUGGGUAAGACGGGUGCCAGCCGCCGCGGUAAUACCUGCGCCCCAAGUGGUUAUCCAGUUUUAUUGGGCCUAAAACGUCCGUAGCCGGCUUGAUAAGUCCUCGGUGAAAUUCACUAGCAGACUAGUGAGCCUGCCGGGGAUACUGUCAGGCUUGGGACUGGGAGAGGGCAGAGGUACUCCUAGGGGAGGGGUAAAAUCCUAUAAUCCUAGGGGGACCACCUGUGGCGAAGGCGUCUGCCUAGAACAGAUCCGACGGUGAGGAACGAAAGCUGGGGGAGCGAUCGGGGAUUAGAUACCCCGGUAGUCCCAGCUGUAAACGAUGCCCGCUUGGUGUUACAAACCUUUAGUGGGUUUGUAGUGCCGGAAUGUAGAUGUUAAGCGGGCUGCCUGGGGAGUACGACCGCAAGGUUGAAACUUAAG
rnacentral:rRNA from 1 species